rnacentral:rRNA from 8 species
GAUGAACGCUGGCGGUAUGCUUAACACAUGCAAGUCGAACGGUCUCUUCGGAGAUAGUGGCGGACGGGUGAGUAACGCGUGAGAAUCUGGCUCUAGGUCUGGGACAACCACUGGAAACGGUGGCUAAUACCGGGUGUGCCGAAAGGUGAAAGGUUAACUGCCUGGAGAUGAGCUCGCGUCUGAUUAGCUAGUUGGUAGGGUAAGAGCUUACCAAGGCGACGAUCAGUAGCUGGUCUGAGAGGACGAUCAGCCACACUGGGACUGAGACAC